ensembl:snRNA U6 U6 spliceosomal RNA
GUGCUUGUUUCAGCAGCACAUACACUAAAAAACUGAAACUAUACAGAGAGGAUUAGCAUGGCCCCUGUCAAGAAUGACGUGCAAAUUCAUGAAGCAUUCCAUAAUUAA